UUCUUAUCAAGAGAGGCGGAGGGACUGGCCCUUUGAAGCCCGGCAACCAUUCGAAUAGUCGAAACGGUGCCAAAUCCUGCAAGGUAUCAUUCCUUGGGAGAUGAGAG
rnacentral:ncRNA from 2 species